CCUACUGGAGGCAUCAUUGGGGCAUCUUGCACAAUGGGGGAAACCCUGAUGCAGCAACGCCGCGUGAGUGAAGAAGUAUUUCGGUAUGUAAAGCUCUAUCAGCAGUUCCGCCGCUGCCGGUCCCUGCGUACGAAGCCCCGGCUACCUACGUGCCAGCAGCCGCGGUAAUACGUAGGGGGCACGCGUUCUCCGGCUUUCCUGGGUGUCCCGGGCGCGUCGCCGGUGCGCCACGUCUGCCGUGAAAGCCCGGGGCUCAACCCCGGGACUGCUUUGGAAACUGCCUGACUGGAGUGCUGGAGAGGCAAGCGGAAUUCCUAGUGUAGCGGUGAAAUGCGUAGAUAUUAGGAAGAACACCAGUGGCGAAGGCGGCUUGCUGGACAGUAACUGACGUUGAGGCUCGAAAGCGUGGGGAGCAAACAGGAUUAGAGACCCGGGUAGUC
rnacentral:rRNA from 1 species